UACGGGGGGUGCAAACGUUGCUCGGAAUUAUUGGGCGUAAAGCGCGUGUAGGCGGCUGCGUAAGUCGGGUGUGAAAGCCCUGGGCUUAACCCAGGAAGUGCAUCCGAUACUGCGCAGCUCGAGUAUGGGAGAGGGUAGAGGAAUUCCCGGUGUAGAGGUGAAAUUCGUAGAUAUCGGGAGGAACACCAGUGGCGAAAGCGGCUACCUGGACCAAUACUGACGCUGAGACGCGAAAGCGUGGGGAGCAAACAGG
rnacentral:rRNA from 1 species